UUGGGAGAAGUUAAGGGUUAAGUGGGCCAAAUAUAUGGAGAUGGAAGAUGAUUUAACUUUGGAUGGUGGGUACACAAGGCAAUAUACAGAUCAUGUAUCAUAGAAAUGUACACUUAAAACCUCUAUGAUCUUAUUAAC